AUGGCGCACCAGCCCUGGCCCCGGCCCGGCCCCCUCCUCCUCUGCCUUCGGAUCUGCCGCUCCCCCUCACCCUACUGCGCGCUCCUCCGCGCGGCGCUCUUCGGGCCCGACACGCCCGACCGCCUCGCCUCCUCCGCCGGGGCCUCCUCCUCCUCCGCGGCCUCCCCCGUCGGCUCCCCCGCCGGCGGCAACAUAUUCCGCUUCAAGGCCGAGGUGCCGAGGAACGCCAAGCGGGCGCUCUUCGCCGGCGGGGACGACCAGGACCUGCUCUUCCCCGGCAUCUUCACCCCCAAGGGCUCCGGCCCCAGGAAGAUCCCCAGGUCGCCCUACAAGGUGCUGGAUGCGCCCGCAUUGCAGGACGACUUCUACCUCAACCUCGUGGAUUGGUCUUCGCACAAUGUCCUCUCGGUCGGAUUGGGGAAUUGCGUCUACCUAUGGAAUGCAUGCAGCAGCAAGGUCACCAAGCUCUGCGAUUUGGGGGCGGACGACACCGUUUGUUCCGUGAGUUGGGCGCAGCGUGGCACCCACCUGGCUGUAGGGACUAACCAAGGCACCGUCCAGAUAUGGGAUGCAACACGCUGUAAAAGAAUGAGAACCAUGGAAAGCCAUCGCAUGCGAGUAGGUGCUCUUGCAUGGAACUCUUCAUUGCUUUCUUCUGGCAGUCGUGACAAGAACAUCCUUCAUCAUGAUCUACACGGCCUUCUUGCAUCUGGUGGUGGAACUGCAGAUAGUUCCAUGGAUACAGGGAGUCAGGUCUGUAAUCUUGUGUGGUCAAAGAAUGUGAAUGAGCUUGUUAGCACACACGGAUACUCCCAGAAUCAGAUAAUAGUGUGGCGGUAUCCAACGAUGUCAAAGCUUGCCACGUUAACAGGACAUACAUUCAGAGUAUUAUAUUUAGCCGUCUCCCCUGAUGGACAGACAAUUGUUACUGGUGCUGGUGACGAGACGCUCCGGUUUUGGAACGUGUUUCCGUCUCCCAAGUCCCAGAGUUCUGACAGCUUAAGUAGCAUUGGAGCGACAUCUUUUGUUAGGAGCUACAUCCGCUGA
rnacentral:rRNA from 1 species